rnacentral:rRNA from 1 species
AACGAACGCUGGCGGCAGGCCUAACACAUGCAAGUCGAGCGGACCUUUCGGGGUCAGCGGCGGACGGGUGAGUAACGCGUGGGAAUAUGCCCUUCUCUACGGAAUAGUCCUGGGAAACUGGGGGUCAUACCGUAUACGCCCUUUGGGGGAAAGAUUUAUCGGGGAAGGAUUAGCCCGCGUUGGAUUAGGUAGUUGGUGGGGUAAUGGCCUACCAAGCCGACGAUCCAUAGCUGGUUUGAGAGGAUGAUCAGCCACACUGGGACUGAGACACGGCCCAGACUCCUACGGGAGGCAGCAGUGGGGAAUCUUAGACAAUGGGGGCAACCCUGAUCUAGCCAUGCCGCGUGAGUGAUGAAGGCCUUAGGGUUGUAAAGCUGUUUCAGCUGGGAAGAUAAUGACGGUACCAGCAGAAGAAGCACCGGCUAACUCCGUG